GAUGGCACUUAGCAUAUAAGGGUCCAGCAACAAAAACCCCGGCUUAUACGGGGUUUUUUGUUAUCUAAGCAUUUGUAAAUGCGUUUAGAUAAUGUUUGCUUGGAAUUUAAAUUGGGCUUUGAGCCCUUUUUUU
rfam:Vibrionales bacterium SWAT-3 1101732140697, whole genome shotgun sequence.